UACAGAGGUCUCAAGCGUUGUUCGGAUUCAUUGGGCGUAAAGGGUGCGUAGGUGGCGCGGUAAGUCGGGUGUGAAAUUUCGGAGCUUAACUCCGAAACUGCAUUCGAUACUGCCGUGCUUGAGGACUGGAGAGGAGGCUGGAAUUUACGGUGUAGCAGUGAAAUGCGUAGAGAUCGUAAGGAAGACCAGUGGCGAAGGCGGGUCUCUGGACAGUUCCUGACACUGAGGCACGAAGGCCAGGGGAGCAAACGGG
rnacentral:rRNA from 1 species